rnacentral:lncRNA from 1 species
CCUCGAUCGUCCAUUCCUCGGGCGGGGCUUCAGUGGGCACUGUCGGCACUGACAGUGCGAUGAUCGGCUCUCGAUCCGACGCCCGUUCGGAGCUGGACUCCGCUCCCAUUGCCGCCGGCUUGCUCGGUGGUGCUACCUGAGGCCUCUUGGGAGGCCGAGAUGAUUCGGCUCCGUGCGCCGGUCUCUUCCGCGCCGCGUGUUGCCGAACGUCGGCUUC